UAGGUUCAUGAUCCUCAAGCU
rnacentral:piRNA from 1 species